CAAAGAGAAGCGACCUCGCGAGAGCAAGCGGACCUCAUAAAGUGCGUCGUAGUCCGGAUUGGAGUCUGCAACUCGACUCCAUGAAGUCGGAAUCGCUAGUAAUCGUGGAUCAGAAUGCCACGGUGAAUACGUUCCCGGGCCUUGUACACACCGCCCGUCACACCAUGGGAGUGUGUUGCAAAAGAAGUAGGUAGCUUAACCUUCGGGAGGGCGCUUACCACUUUGUGAUUCAUGACUGGGGUGAAGUCGUAACAAGGUAACCGUAGGGGAACCUGCGGUUGGAUCACCUCCUUACCUGAAAGAAGC
rnacentral:rRNA from 1 species